CAAAUUUCGUCAGCUGGUGUCGCGCAUCAUGGAGAAAAACCCCGAGAUCCAGGUCGCGUUCUCGGCCAUCCUUCCGAGGGAGGAACUCUGCCGCAAGGAGGGAUACGGCUUCAUCGACGGAAGCAGGCAGUCGUGGAGUGGGCUGCUCAUGCUGGAUGGUGUCCACUUCAACAAGAAAGGCAGCAGGGUGUUUGGACGCAUCCUUCGAGGCGGCCUUC